UCUCUGAAUGGGGAAACCCACCGGUCUUCGGACCGGUACCGUACGGUGAAUACAUAGCCGUACGGGGCGAACUCGGGGAACUGAAACAUCUAAGUACCCCAAGGAAAAGAAAUCAACCGAGAUUCCGAAAGUAGCGGCGAGCGAAAUUGGACUAGCCCUUAAGCUUUAUAUGCGUUAGACGAACGGUCUGGAAAGUCCGGCGAUACAGGGUGAUAGCCCCGUAGUUGACAACGCACAUUCAGUGAAAUCGAGUAGGGCGGGACAAGUGAUAUCCUGUCUGAAUA
rnacentral:ncRNA from 1 species